rnacentral:tRNA from 1 species
GAGAGGUGGCUGAGUGGUCGAAAGCACUGGUCUUGAAAACCAGCGACGGGCAACCGUCCCAGGGUUCGAAUCCCUGCCUCUCC